GCCUCCUUGGUUCAGUGGUUAAGCCGCUGCAACAAUUCCUCUUCAAGCAAUUGGAGAGGUCAUGGGUUCGAUUCCCUAAGGAGGUG